GUCUAACCCCUUCCCCUACUA
rnacentral:tRNA from 1 species